rnacentral:rRNA from 1 species
UAAAACGUAGGAGGCGAGCGUUAUCCGGAUUUACUGGGCGUAAAGCGUGUGCAGGCGGUUUGGUUAGUUGGAUGUGAAAGCUCCUGGCUUAACUGGGAGAGGUCGUUCAAUACUGCCAGACUUGAGGAUGGGAGAGGAAGGUGGAAUUCCGAGUGUAGUGGUGAAAUGCGUAGAUAUUCGGAGGAACACCAGUGGCGAAAGCGGCCUUCUGGCCCAUCUCUGACGCUCAUACACGAAAGCUAGGGUAGCAAACGGG